AACAGGAUUAGAUACCCUGGUAGUCCACGCCGUAAACGAUGUCGACUUGGAGGUUGUGCCCUUGAGGCGUGGCUUCCGGAGCUAACGCGUUAAGUCGACCGCCUGGGGAGUACGGCCGCAAGGUUAAAACUCAAAUGAAUUGACGGGGGCCCGCACAAGCGGUGGAGCAUGUGGUUUAAUUCGAUGCAACGCGAAGAACCUUACCUGGUCUUGACAUCCUCGGAAGUUUUCAGAGAUGAGAAUGUGCCUUCGGGAACCGUGAGACAGGUGCUGCAUGGCUGUCGUCAGCUCGUGUUGUGAAAUGUUGGGUUAAGUCCCGCAACGAGCGCAACCCUUAUCCUUUGUUGCCAGCGGUCCGGCCGGGAACUCAAAGGAGACUGCCAGUGAUAAACUGGAGGAAGGUGGGGAUGACGUCAAGUCAUCAUGGCCCUUACGACCAGGGCUACACACGUGCUACAAUGGCGCAUACAAAGAGAAGCGACCUCGCGAGAGCAAGCGGACCUCAUAAAGUGCGUCGUAGUCCGGAUUGGAGUCUGCAACUCGACUCCAUGAAGUCGGAAUCGCUAGUAAUCGUGGAUCAGAAUGCCACGGUGAAUACGUUCCCGGGCCUUGUACACACCGCCCGUCACACCAUGGGAGUGGGUUGCAAAAGAAGUAGGUAGCUUAACCUUCGGGAGGGCGCUUACCACUUUGUGAUUCAUGACUGGGGUGAAGUCGUAACAAGGUAACC
rnacentral:rRNA from 1 species